UUUCCGUAGGUGAACCUGCGGAAGGAUCAUUAAUGAGUUGUCAUGGGGGUUCGAUGCUGGCAGCCAGUUUUUGGAUGCAUGUGCUUGCCCUAACAAUCAUCUUCUUCCAAACACCUGUGCACAUUUUUGAGGGAGUCUUGAGUUGGUUGCCGCUCUUGGGUGAUUUUCUCACAUUCCCUUAAAUCAUUAUACGCUAUUAACAAUGUUGAACGUGCUCUGUGCCGCAAGGCCAUUAAUAUAAUACAACUUUUAACAACGGAUCUCUUGGCUCUC
rnacentral:misc_RNA from 1 species